UGUUUUAAAGAUAGUUGCCUCUGAUGCAGAGCAGCAGACAUAGGAGGAAAGAAAAAACACAGUGAGAGAGAGGACCUAUAGAAAGAAAGAGAGAAGAGCAUGCAAAUAAAACAGUACAUUUUCAGAAACCUGUCCACGUUUAUGGCGACUUUCUUAAUUAUUUCUAAAACUUGGAAGCAACCAAGAUGUCCUCCAAUAGGAGAAUGUAUAAAUAAAAUUGUGGAACAUCCAGAAAAUAAAGUAUAAUUCAUUGCUAAAAGGUUAUCAGCCUACAAGCUAUGCAAAGACUUAAAUGAAUAUUGAUGAUUGAAUGGAGUCUAUCAGAAAAGGUCACGUAAGAUGUUACCCUUUGGAGAUUUAGAGACAGAAAUAUUGAAGAUCAUGGCAUUUGUUGCUGCAGCAGUGGUGGCCAUUUGGAUGGCAGGAAAAACAUUUCUUAAGAUCAGCACCAAGAUAACAACAGAAUACUCCCAGUAAGCAGUGUUUGAAGCACCUACAUCCUAACAAAAGGAAAAGUGCACCAGAAAAAGACUACUGAAGAGGCA